GAUGAACGCUGGCGGCGUGCCUAAUACAUGCAAGUCGAGCGAACAGACGAGGAGCUUGCUCCUCUGACGUUAGCGGCGGACGGGUGAGUAACACGUGGAUAACCUACCUAUAAGACUGGGAUAACUUCGGGAAACCGGAGCUAAUACCGGAUAAUAUAUUGAACCGCAUGGUUCAAUAGUGAAAGACGGUUUUGCUGUCACUUAUAGAUGGAUCCGCGCCGCAUUAGCUAGUUGGUAAGGUAACGGCUUACCAAGGCGACGAUGCGUAGCCGACCUGAGAGGGUGAUCGGCCACACUGGAACUGGGACGCGGUCCAGACUCCUACGGGAGGCAGCAGUAGGGAAUCUUCCGCAAUGGGCGAAAGCCUGACGGAGCAACGCCGCGUCAGUGAUGAAGGUCUUCGGAUCGUAAAACUCUGUUAUUAGGGAAGAACAAAUGUGUAAGUAACUAUGCACGUCUUGACGGUACCUAAUCAGAAAGCCACGGCUAACUACGUG
rnacentral:rRNA from 1 species